AGCAGAUGCACCGGAAUUUUCUCAUAUGCCAACAGCAACAUGCAAACAAUGCAAGACAGUGAUGCCAUUGCAGAUGUUGGCUCUGCACAUUGACCACUGCAACAACACAUCAAACUCGGAAACUGAGGAGGCAGAUGUGGUGUUCCUGGAAGAAGCAACAUCUCCUAACCCAGUCCUAGGACCUUGUACAGACGCACCAUGGUCCAAUGAGCAACAUUGCUUUCAGCAGGCAGGUGAGGUCCAAUGUCCAAUAUGCACAAGAACAUUUCCAGUGUCAGACAUAGAACUACAUGCAAGCUUCUGCGGUGAAAGGUGACUGUGGGUCAACUUGCAUUAUGUAUCUUUGUUUAUAGGGUUGCUCGA